UGUCUCAACAACAUGCCAUGCGAACUGAAAAUGCAAACGAGAGUCAAUUGUUAGGCAAGGUUGUUAUUAUAUUGGGCAGAGUGCAUUAGAAUUUUGUGAGAAUUGUCAGUAGGACCUAUUGGAGUAGGAUUUGUUGCGGUUAAUGUGAAAAUCAUGCCACAUAAUUCAGUUUUUUUUUUACAUCAGUAAAGAUUUAAAGGUUUUAUAGCAGAACGAAAGAUUCUCGCAGAAGAAAUAGUUAGUUGCAAGUAUAUUUACCUUUACAAAUUCCUGUGGUAUUUAAUGUUUUUCAAAAAAUCUCUUGUGAGCCCAUCUGAAAAUAUAUAGUCUCUUUUUAGAAAUGCAAUUGAAAAAAAUGAGGCUUGUUUUUAAAUGUGAGGCAUUUCAGUAAGACCAAUCUCGCAUUCAACAGGAGAAGUUUCAAUUUCAGAUAGGGGCGAAAGUUAAUGCUCAUCACUUAAAAAACUUUUAAGUAAAAUUUAGUAGUUUAAUAUUUACCUCUUUUAUUGAAAAAGCAGUCCAACAUCACAUGAUUUACCAAUCUGUAAAGAGGAUACAAAAAACUGGGUUAGAGUACUUUCAAACAAAUUUUCGUGGUUUUCAAGCGACAUUAUUUUCAGUAAGACCAAUCUCGCAUUCAACAGGAGAAGUUUCAAUUUCAGAUAGGGGCGAAAGUUAAGGCUCAUCAUAAGAAUUAGAUAAAAUUUGAAAUGAAUGUGUUCUCACCUUAAUUCCGAUGUUUAUUUGAGGCACGUUUAUAGAUUUUGUUCCGCUGAUCUGUAAAUAUAUAUUGGAAUUUGAAUUAUAUUGGAUUCAGACAAAGAUAGCCCACAUUUGUUAUAGUUUUUAGUUUUUCAGUAAGACCAAUCUCGCAUUCAACAAGAGAAGUUUCAAUUUCAGAUAGGGGCGAAAGUUAAUGCUCAUCAGAACUAUUACAAUCUAAAAAUAAUUAUCAAAUUGAAACUAACCUAAUGAUCACUGUCACUCCGCUUUGUCCUUUGAGAAGAAUUCCAAGCUACAAGAAAUGGAAACAAAAAUUAAGUUAAUAAGAAGUCAGCAGAUAGGGGCGAAAGUUAAUGCUCAUCAGAUAACGCAUGGGAAAGCCACACUUGAAGGCACUCAAAUAUGUAAUAUGAAACUCACCUUUAGUCUGCAGAGCCCUGCCUUUCUAACUGAAAAAAACCUAGGAAAAAGCUGAGUCCUUAAAAAACUAGCAAAAGAGUUCCACAA